rnacentral:rRNA from 1 species
AGCGAACGCUGGCGGCGUGCUUAACACAUGCAAGUCGAGCGAAGGUGUUUCAAGGGUAACCUUGAGAUACACUUAGCGGCGGACGGGUGAGUAAUACGUGGAUAACUUACCUCUAGGCCUGGGAUAACCCCGGGAACUGGGGCUAAUACCUGAUAAGACCACAUUGUCUACGGACAAAGGGGUAAAAGGUGGCUGUGCAAACAGCUAUCGCCAAAAGAUAGGUUCACGUCCCAUCAGGCAGUGGCGAGGUAAUGGCUCACCAAACCAAAGACGGGUAGCCGGCCUUGGCGGGUGAACGGCCACACGGGGACUGAGACACGGCCCCGACU